UGACCGUGCAAAGGUAGCAUAAUCAUUUGUUCCCUAAAUAGGGACUUGUAUGAAUGGCCACACGAGGGYUUUACUGUCUCUUACUUCCAAUCCGUGAAAUUGACCUUCCCGUGAAGAGGCGGGAAUACAACAAUAAGACGAGAAGACCCUAUGGAGCUUUAAUUAACCGACCCAAAGAGACCCAUUAAUUUCAACCGACAGGAACAAUAAACCUCUGUAUGGGCCGACAAUUUAGGUUGGGGUGACCUCGGAGAACAAAGCAACCUCCGA
rnacentral:rRNA from 1 species